UAUGUUUCUAUAAAUUAGAGAAGUCAAAGUUUAUACAACUGGGGUGCAGACUACCCAAGCGAAAUACCCAAGCCUGUCUCCUUGCUACAUUUACUGCUGACUCCAGUCACAAAUCUGAGUUUUCG